GGCUUGUCCGGGUGCAGUGGUAUUUACAACUAAUUGAUCACAAGCAGUUACAGAUUUCUUUGUUCCUUCUCCACUCCCACUGCUUCACUUGACUAGCCUUAA
rnacentral:Y_RNA from 1 species